rnacentral:pre_miRNA from 1 species
AACGCACUUGAAUCAUCGUUAGCAUAUCUGUGAAUUGCAAACGUAAUUAAGUGCGCGGAG